rnacentral:lncRNA from 1 species
CACUGUCGUAAACAGCAGUGAUAAUAUGCAUGCCUCUGUUUUUCUUCUACUUCAGCCAAUUUCGUACACAUACGAUGCAUUGCAAAGAAAGGAGAAUAUGAAUUUCACUUCAGGAUGCAGCUUCCUUGGUCCCUGUUUUUUGCACAUGAUCAGUUGAUCUUCUUUGAUGUAUCUUGGGGUGGCCGUCCUGGCAGCAGCUACCAGACAAGCCCUCAGAGACCCGGCUUCCUCAGAUGACCUUGGACUUCCAGCAUUUCAUCUCCUCUCCUGUCUUCCACCCCAGGGCAGCUGCUGAGUUGAAGUUGUCCCGCAGCAAGCAUCCAGCUCACACGCCCACCCUGACUGUGCAGAUUGGGCAAAGCCCGUAUCUUUGCAACUGGCAUGUGCGUACGAUGAUUGAUCAUGAACUCUGCAAAAGUGAGGAGAGG